AGGUCUGACCUGCCCACUGAAAUUAUUUUAAAUGGCCGCAGUAAUUUGACUGUGCAAAGGUAGCAUAAUCAUUAGUUUUUUAAUUAAAAGCUUGUAUGAAGGGUUGGACGAGAUAAAAUCUGUCUCUAUUUAAUUUAUUAUAAAAUUUAAUUUUUAAGUUAAAAAGCUUAAAUUUUUUUAAAAGACGAGAAGACCCUAUAGAUCUUUAUAGUUUUGAUUUUGAAUUUAAUUAAUAAAUUUUUAUGGUUUAUAAUUUAAACUAUUUUAUUGGGGUAAUAGAAAGAUUAAAAUAAUUCUUUUUUUCUUUAAACAUUUAUUUAUGUUUUUAAUGAUCCAAUUUUAUUGAUUAUAAGAUUAAGUUACCUUAGGGAUAACAGCGUAAUUUUUUUAGAGAGUUCUUAUCGAUAAAAAAGUUUGCGACCUCGAUGUUGGAUUAAAGAUUAGUUUAGGUGUAGAAGUUUAAAUUUUUGGUCUGUUCGACCAUUAAAUCUUUACAUGAUCUGAGUUCAGACCGGCGUAAGCCAGGUCGGUUUCUAUCUUUAAUAAUUUUAAAAUAUUUUAGUACGAAAGGACCAAAUAUUUAAUAUAUUUAUAUUUAAUUUUUUGAAUAUUAUUAAAAAUUAUUUUGGCAGAAUAGUGCAAUGAAUUUAGAAUUCAUAAAUGUAAUUUUAUUACAAAUAAUACUUGUUUUUUUUAGAUGUAAUUUUUUCUUUAGUAUGUAUAUUUUUAUUAAUUAUUUGUGUUUUAGUUGGAGUUGCUUUUUUAA
rnacentral:rRNA from 1 species